rnacentral:rRNA from 1 species
ACGUACACUCCUACGGGAGGCAGCAGUGGGGAAUAUUGGACAAUGGGCGCAAGCCUGAUCCAGCCAUGCCGCGUGAGUGAUGAAGGCCCUAGGGUUGUAAAGCUCUUUCACCGGUGAAGAUAAUGACGGUAACCGGAGAAGAAGCCCCGGCUAACUUCGUGCCAGCAGCCGCGGUAAUACGAAGGGGGCUAGCGUUGUUCGGAUUUACUGGGCGUAAAGCGCACGUAGGCGGACUAUUAAGUCAGGGGUGAAAUCCCGGGGCUCAACCCCGGAACUGCCUUUGAUACUGGUAGUCUUGAGUUCGAGAGAGGUGAGUGGAAUUCCGAGUGUAGAGGUGAAAUUCGUAGAUAUUCGGAGGAACACCAGUGGCGAAGGCGGCUCACUGGCUCGAUACUGACGCUGAGGUGCGAAAGCGUGGGGAGCAAACAGGAUGAGAAACCCGAGUAGUCCCAUGAU